GCGGAAGUGGCGGAAUUGGCAGACGCACAAGACUUAGGAUCUUGCGCCGCAAGGCGUACGGGUUCGACUCCCGUCUUCCGCACCA
rnacentral:tRNA from 1 species